ACGAACGCUGGCGGCGUGCCUAAUACCUGCAAGUUGAGCGAUGAAGAUUGGUGCUUGCACCAAUUUGAAGAGCAGCGAACGGGUGAGUAACGCGUGGGGAAUCUGCCUUUGAGCGGGGGACAACAUUUGGAAACGAAUGCUAAUACCGCAUAACAACUUUAAACAUAAGUUUUCAGUUUGAAAGAUGCAAUUGCAUCACUCAAAGAUGAUCCCGCGUUGUAUUAGCUAGUUGGUGAGGUAAAGGCUCACCAAGGCGAUGAUACAUAGCCGACCUGAGAGGGUGAUCGGCCACAUUGGGACUGAGACACGGCCCAAACUCCUACGGGAGGCAGCAGUAGGGAAUCUUCGGCAAUGGACGAAAGUCUGGCCGAGCAACGCCGCGUGAGUGAAGAAGGUUUUCGGAUCGUAAAACUCUGUUGGUAGAGAAGAACGUUGGUGAGAGUGGAAAGCUCAUCAAGUGACGGUAACUACCCAGAAAGGGACGGCUAACUACGUG
rnacentral:rRNA from 1 species